GGCGAAAGCGCGCGCAGGUGGUUUCUUAAGUCUGAUGUGAAAGCCCACGGCUCUACCGUGGAGGGUCAUUGGAAACUGGGAGACUUGAGUGCCCAAGAGGAAAGUGGAAUUCCAUGUGUAGCGGUGAAAUGCGUAGAGAUAUGGAGGAACACCAGUGGCGAAGGCGACUUUCUGGUCUGUAACUGACACUGAGGCGCGAAAGCGUGGGGAGCAAACAGGAUUAGAUACCCUGGUAGUCCACGCCGUAAACGAUGAGUGCUAAGUGUUAGAGGGUUUCCGCCCUUUAGUGCUGAAGUUAACGCAUUAAGCACUCCGCCUGGGGAGUACGGCCGCAAGGCUGAAACUCAAAGGACUUGACGGGGGCCCGCACAAGCGGUGGAUCAUGUGGUUUAAUUCAAA
rnacentral:rRNA from 1 species